rnacentral:rRNA from 1 species
UACGUAGGGGGCAAGCGUUGUCCGGAAUCACUGGGCGUAAAGCGCGCGCAGGCGGUCAUCUACGUCUGGGGUGAAAGCCCGGAGCUCAACUCCGGGAUUGCCUUGGAUACGGGAUGACUUGAGGAUCGGAGAGGCAAGGGGAAUUCCACGUGUAGCGGUGAAAUGCGUAGAGAUGUGGAGGAACAUCUGUGGCGAAGGCGACUGCCUGGACCAGCACUGACACUGAGGCACGAAAGCGUGGGGAGCAAACAGG